ensembl:snoRNA
AUGCUAAGCAUGUUGAUUGCGUUUUUAUGCUCACAGAGGUGUGCCUCCCUUGAACUUUGUUACCAUGUCUGCAGAUUACUUGUCUGACA